rnacentral:rRNA from 1 species
AUUGAACGCUGGCGGCAUGCCUUACACAUGCAAGUCGACCGGUAACAGGUCUUCGGAUGCCGACGAGUGGCGAACGGGUGAGUAAUACAUCGGAACGUGCCUAGUAGUGGGGGAUAACUACUCGAAAGAGUGGCUAAUACCGCAUGAGAUCUACGGAUGAAAGCAGGGGAUCGCAAGACCUUGUGCUACUAGAGCGGCCGAUGGCAGAUUAGGUAGUUGGUGGGAUAAAAGCUUACCAAGCCGACGAUCUGUAGCUGGUCUGAGAGGACGAUCAGCCACACUGGGACUGAGACACGGCCCAGACUCCUACGGGAGGCAGCAGUGGGGAAUUUUGGACAAUGGGCGCAAGCCUGAUCCAGCAAUGCCGCGUGCAGGAUGAAGGCCUUCGGGUUGUAAACUGCUUUUGUACGGAACGAAAAGCCCCGGGUUAAUACCCUGGGGUCAUGACGGUACCGUAAGAAUAAGCACCGGCUAACUACGUGCCAGCCGCCGCCGUAA